GCUAACUUAGCAUAUAGAGUGCGUUGGUUUUAGGGACCAAAGAUGUGGAAAUUCCGCAGUUAGCA
rnacentral:tRNA from 1 species